AACCUGGAUUGGGUGCAUGCUACAUUAACAUAAUUUUAACAUGCAACUUCAACAAUAUAAAUUCUUGUUUUGUGUCUGAACAUAAUAAAAUCACGUAAAUGUAACAACUUCAACAGGUUACAUCAAUAUUUUAUGUUAACUCAACGUAAUAAAAAUAGGUUUAGACAACAACAUGUCCAGAGCUGAAGGUGGCAGUAAUGAGCAAAUUCACAACUUGGACUACGGCACUGCCGCUUCUUCAGGAUCCUGACGUAAAGGAAAACACCUGUUCAUGAUGUGUGCAAGAAGGUAAGUUUAACGUCCAUUGAAUAAAAAACUGCAUGGGUGCAGAAAUGUUGUUAGUAGCUAUAUAUAGUGCCCUUUAGCAUUUUGGAUGUUUAAUUAGCUAGAGUACGUAUCCGUGUUAUGUGACUGCGCCUGUGCUCACAAGCUAACCUAGCUAGCUUCCGUACAACACUGAGAACGUGCUAGUUUUAAAUAAGCUUAUCUGCAAUAAAAUAUAUAUAUAUUGUAAUUUUUUAUAUUAUUUUAUAGCCGUUAAACGGCGAUCUUUGCUCAGUUAGGAGUGAGACUUUUACGUAUUUCCAAUGCGAGUUCAUCGCGCGAGCGCGGGAUUUUCAAAUUUCAAAUAACCGACAUGAGCGUUGCCCCUCGGUCGGUUUGGAUGCGACGAGGAUUUUACGAGUCAGCGGCAUUUGUUCAGGUUGGUGCAAUAUUUUCUGACAUAUACUCUCCGUCCGCAGGUGUUAGAGCAGAGAACUACUGGAAACGGAAAACAGAAGUACAGAGACUUGCCCUACUGAAAAGUGUCCCAUUCUAGAGCUGAGAAGAGACAGCAGGAAAGGGAAUCAUCUGCUAGUGUCGCUCCAGAUGUCUACAUGUCCACAAGUUGUUUAAGAAAAAGUAAGUAGGUACGACUAUUGCAAACACAAGGCAAGAAGUUAUCAGAGAUGAACCCUUCAUCACCGAGUUCAAAACCAGAUGGCCUGCUCUCUUCUGUGUUUCUGAGAAUAAAUUUAAGAGGACUACAACAGUUUGCUGCAACAGUUCUUCUCCAUGCUGGAUGGUUAUUCUUCAGACCUGAAAACGGUGUUUGGCAAGGAAGGCGGCAUUCAAGGACAAAAGAUUAAGAGCAUCAUGGUUCCCAUAACCCAGACUAACUCCAUUGAUGUCAGAAGAGUACAUCCUUUAAGCCCAGUGUGUGUUCCUCAAUGAAGAUCCUGGCAACCUUGUGAAAUAAUGGAUGAUCGUGGACGCCUUGAAGAAGCCAUGAUAGAGACAAUUCUUGAAGUUUUUUUCAUUCACAAAGAUGCAGAGGCAGAUGAUGACCCUGAAGAUGUAGUCAUCGUUUCAAGUCCUGGAUGAGUUGGGUAGUGUCCCACUUGCUGUGUUGUUGUUUGCUCUUGUUAUAUGCUCUCAACCUCAGCUACCCUCCACUAAAAGUUGUUUGAAAUAUUGGCCCAAUGCUGUAUGUACAAUACUGGAUGUUAGUGACAUUUUGUAGCUGCCUUUGACAUUUGAAAGCUGUUUUAUCGUUUUUAUGAAGCUUAUAAAGUAUUCUAACCAGUCUAAAUCCAA